GAUGAACGCUGGCGGCGUGCCUAAUACAUGCAAGUCGAGCGAACGGACGAGAAGCUUGCUUCUCUGAUGUUAGCGGCGGACGGGUGAGUAACACGUGGAUAGCCUACCUAUAAGACUGGGAUAACUUCGGGAAACCGGAGCUAAUACCGGAUGAUAUUUUGAACCGCAUGGUUCAAAAGUGAAAGACGGUCUUGCUGUCACUUAUAGAUGGAUCCGUGCUGCAUUAGCUAGUUGGUAAGGUAACGGCUUACCAAGGCAACGAUGCAUAGCCGACCUGAGAGGGUGAUCGGCCACACUGGAACUGAGACACGGUCCAGACUCCUACGGGAGGCAGCAGUAGGGAAUCUUCCGCAAUGGGCGAAAGCCUGACGGAGCAACGCCGCGUGAGUGAUGAAGGUCUUCGGAUCGUAAAACUCUGUUAUUAGGGAAGAACAUAUGUGUAAGUAACUGUGCACAUCUUGACGGUACCUAAUCAGAAAGCCACGGCUAACUACGUG
rnacentral:rRNA from 1 species